AAAAACAUGGCCUUUUGAUUUUAAUUUAAGGUCUAGCCUGCUCAAUGAAUUUUAAAUAGCCGCAGUACUCUGACUGUGCAAAGGUAGCAUAAUCAUUAGUUUUUUAAUUGAAAGCUGGAAUGAAAGGUUGAAUGAGAAAAUAUCUGUCUCUAUAAAAAUUUUAUAGAAUUUUAUUUUUAAGUAAAAAAGCUUAAAUAAUAAUAAAAGACGAGAAGACCCUAUAGAGUUUUAUAUUUGAAAACAAUGAUUUUUUUUUAGUAUUUUAAAAUUUAUUCUUUAAAAAUAUUUAGUUGGGGUGAUUGGAAAAUUAAAUAAACUUUUCUUUUAAAAUUACAUUUAUGUAUGAAACUAUGAUCCUUGAAUAAAGAUUAUAAGAUAAAAUUACCUUAGGGAUAACAGCGUAAUUUUUUUUGAGAGUUCUUAUCGAAAAAAGAGAUUGCGACCUCGAUGUUGGAUUAAAGUUAAUUUUUGGUGUAGAAGCUAAAUAAAUUAGGUCUGUUCGACCUUUAAAAUUUUACUUGAUCUGAGUU
rnacentral:rRNA from 1 species